CCUUCCCCGACCUCGUUCCUCCUUCUCCAGACACCCCUGGGCUUGCAGAGAACCCUGUGUGGCCAGGCAUGGCCUUCGGGCACGAGUCUCCCUUCCCACAAGCCAUUUGAACAUUCAGGAUGCACGGAGCAGAUGAAUGGGGCAUGGCCCCUGCCAUGGAGGAGGACGGGACUGGCAAAGGAGCGUAUUUACUUUUGCCAGAAUGUCACAGAAGUGGAUUCAUACCAUAUGUAGCCUUUAC